GACGAACGCUGGCGGCGUGCUUAACACAUGCAAGUCGAGCGGUAAGGCCCUUUCGGGGUACGACGAGCGGCGAACGGGUGAGUAACACGUGGGUGACCUGCCUUUAGUCUCUGGGAUAAGCCUGGGAAACGUAGGGUCGUAAUACCGGAUAUGACUCCGCGGUGCAUGCUGUGGGGUGGAAAGCCUUGUGCGGCUGGAGAUGGGCCCGCGGCCUAUCAGCUUGUUGGUGGGGUGAUGGCCUACCAAGGCGACGACGGGUAGCCGGCCUGAGAGGGCGACCGGCCACACUGGGACUGAGACACGGCCCAGACUCCUACGGGAGGCAGCAGUGGGGAAUCUUGCGCAAUGGGCGAAAGCCUGACGCAGCGACG
rnacentral:rRNA from 1 species